GACGAACGCUGGCGGCGUGCUUAACACAUGCAAGACGAACGAUGAAGCUGGAGCUUGCUCUGGUGGAUUAGUGACGAACGGGUGAGUAACACGUGAGUAACCUGCCCUGGACUCUGGGAUAACCCCGAGAAAUCGGAGCUAAUACCGGAUAGGACCUCGGAUCGCAUGAUCUGGGGUGGAAAGUUUUUCGGUCUGGGAUGGACUCGCGGCCUAUCAGCUUGUUGGUGAGGUAAUGGCUCACCAAGGCGUCGACGGGUAGCCGGCCUGAGAGGGUGACCGGCCACACUGGGACUGAGACACGGCCCAGACUCCUACGGGAGGCAGCAGUGGGGAAUAUUGCACAAUGGGCGCAAGCCUGAUGCAGCAACGCCGCGUGCGGGAUGACGGCCUUCGGGUUGUAAACCGCUUUUAGUAAGGAAGAAGCCGCAAGGUGACGGUACUUGCAGAAAAAGGACCGGCUAACUACGUGCCAGCAGCCGCCGUAAUAC
rnacentral:rRNA from 1 species